rnacentral:rRNA from 1 species
AGCGAACGCUGGCGGCAGGCUUAACACAUGCAAGUCGAGCGGGCACUUUCGGGUGUCAGCGGCGGACGGGUGAGUAACGCGUAGGAACGUGCCCUCUGGUUCGGAAUAACUCAGGGAAACUUGAGCUAAUACCGGAUACGCCCUUUUGGGGAAAGGCUUGCUGCCGGAGGAUCGGCCCGCGUCUGAUUAGCUAGUUGGUGAGGUAACGGCUCACCAAGGCGACGAUCAGUAGCUGGUCUGAGAGGAUGAUCAGCCACACUGGGACUGAGACACGGCCCAGACUCCUACGGGAGGCAGCAGUGGGGAAUAUUGGACAAUGGGCGCAAGCCUGAUCCAGCCAUGCCGCGUGAGUGAUGAAGGCCUUAGGGUUGUAAAGCUCUUUUAUCCGGGACGAUAAUGACGGUACCGGAGGAAUAAGCCCCGGCUAACUUCGUG